rnacentral:rRNA from 1 species
CUGGCUCAGAACGAACGCUGGCGGCAAAGGCUUAACACAUGCAAGUCGAGCGCGUAGCAAUACGAGCGGCACGGGUGAGUAACGCGUGGGAAUCUACCCUUUUCUACGGAAUAACGCAGGGAAACUUGUGCUAAUACCGUAUACGCCCUUCGGGGGAAAGAUUUAUCGGAGAAGGAUGAGCCCGCGUUGGAUUAGCUAGUUGGUGGGGUAAAGGCCUACCAGGAGGCGACGAUCCAUAGCUGGUCUGAGAGGAUGAUCAGCCACAUUGGGACUGAGAGACCCCAAACUCCUACGGGAGGCAGCAGUGGGGAAUAUUGGACAAUGGGCGCAAGCCUGAUCCAGCCAUGCCGCGUGAGUGAUGAAGGCCCUAGGGUUGUAAAAGGCUCUUUCACCGGUGAAGAUAAUGACGGUAACCGGAGAAAGCCGGCCGGCUAACUUCGUGCCAGCAGCCGCGGUAAUACGAAGGGGGCUAGCGUUGUUCGGAAUUACUGCGUAAAGACCGCACGUAGGCGGACAUUUAAGUCAGGGGUGAAAUCCCGGGGCUCAACCCCGGAACUGCCUGAUACUGGGUGUCUAGAGUCCGGAAGAGGUGAGUGGAAUUCCGAGUGUAGAGGUGAAAUUCGUAGAUAUUCGG